rnacentral:misc_RNA from 1 species
CCGAGUUUACAACUCCCAAACCCAUGUGAACAUACCUACUGUUGCUUCGGCGGGAUUGCCCCGGGCGCCUCGUGUGCCCCGGAUCAGGCGCCCGCCUAGGAAACUUAACUCCUGUUUUAUUUUGGAAUCUUCUGAGUAGUUUUUACAAAUAAAUAA